GCAAUUCUCAGGUUUCUCUCAGGUCUCUCUCAGAACCAACAAAAUUCAACAUGAAGCUUUUUUUCUUCUUGGCUCUUCUCAUUGCUUGCUACUCUGUUAGCAAUGCUGCUGAGUGUCUUCAUGGUCCAGUAUGCCAUAACCAUGAGCUGACCUCAUUCCAAAACGGACAGAUCUAUUGUUGUCAAAGUGGAUACCACAGCAUUAACGCCGGAGUUCAAGAUGUUGACGGGUUCUCUAUAGUACACUGCAGCUGUCACUAGACAAUCAAUUAAUAUUUUAGAAUGCGAGACGAAUAUAUGACGUAACUGUUGGGGGUUGUUCAUAUGUAGACGAUUUCGCCAAUAAAGUUUUUUUUUUCUUUUUAAAU